UACGUAGGGUGCAAGCGUUGUCCGGAAUUACUGGGCGUAAAGAGCUCGUAGGCGGUUUGUCGCGUCGGUCUGUGAAAACCAGCAGCUCAACUGAUUGGCUUGCAGGCGAUACGGGCAGACUUGGAGUAUUUCAGGGGAGACUGGAAUUCCUGGUGGUAGCGGUGGAAAUGACGCAGAUAUCAGGAGGAACACCGGUGGCGAAGGCGGGUCUCUGGGAAAUAACUGACGCUGGAGGAGCGAAAGCGUGGGUAGCGAACAGGG
rnacentral:rRNA from 1 species